GGCAUUCAUCAUUCGAGCCUCGUG
rnacentral:siRNA from 1 species